GACGAGGGACCUAGCGUUGUUCGGAAUCAUUGGGCGUAAAGCGGGUGUAGGCGGGCUUAUAAGUCAGUUGUGAAAUCCCAGGGCUCAACCCUGGAAGUGCAUUUGAUACUGUAAGUCUUGAAUGUGGUAGAGGUUACUAGAAUUCCUGGUGUAGUGGUGAAAUACGUAGAUAUCAGGAGGAAUACCAGAGGCGAAGGCGGGUAACUGGGCCAACAUUGUCGCUGAGACCCGAAAGUGUGGGGAUCAAACAGG
rnacentral:rRNA from 1 species